rnacentral:lncRNA from 1 species
AACAUUUAAUCUUUCGCAAUAACUUGUUCAAAAUUCAUACUUGUACUUGUAAUUUGACUAUAUUUAAGUCAACAUAAUUCUUGAAACAUACAUUAUGCACUAUGACCUCCCGUACUUAGACGAGCUUAUACAUGAUUUUCAAACCCCCUUGAGUCGGGGUAUGCCGGUCGAGUACCUUCCCGAAAGGCAGAAGCUUGAUGGUUCAUAGGCAUAUACAUAUAAAAUCUUUUCGAAAGAUUCAUAUCUAUUCCAUGGAUUUGAUUUGCAUAGCAUAACAUAAUUUCAUGCAUAUAUUAUAGUAUCAAAAAGUAAUUUACUCUACUUUA